rnacentral:rRNA from 1 species
AUUGAACGCUGGCGGCGUGCUUAACACCUGCAAGUCGAACGGAGUGGCGAACGGGCGAGUAACACGUGGGUGACCUGCCCUGCACUUCGGGAUAAGCCUGGGAAACUGGGUCUACUACCGGAUAGGGUGGGAUGGGCCCGCGGCCUAUCAGCUUGUUGGUGGGGUAAUGGCCUACCAAGGCGGGGACGGGUAGCCGGCCUGAGAGGGUGGACGGCCACAUUGGGACUGAGGCACGGCCCAGGCGCCUACGGGAGGCAGCAGGGGGGAAUAUUGCACAAUGGGCGGAAGCCGGAUGCAGCGACGCCGGGGGGGGGAUGACGGCCUUCGGGUUGGAAACUCCUUUCACCAUCGACGCGGUAGAUGGAGAAGAAGCUCCGGCUAACUACGUGCCAGCAGCCGCGGUAUAC